CAAAGAACGUCCCCUGAGCCGACCAGAAAGCCCAACAGAUCGAACGAGCCCA
rnacentral:misc_RNA from 1 species